UCAUGGAAAGAAUGUUUUUACCUACUUUGUUUUAUUCCUAAAUCAGUGCAAUUGGUCUUCAUUCCCCCUUACUGAAGUCUUUAUACUGGCAUUUAAUGGGUUGGGUUUGUCUUUUCUAGAUAACAGAUUUAAGCACUAAAAGUCCCUGAAAGAAACCCAGAUAAAAACUCUGAAAACUUAAGAAAUUAUUCUUUUAUGUCAAAAUCCUACUUUUAGAUACAGUUGGAGGUUCAUCAUCCAAGAUACUGCAGAAUGGAGUUGUCACCCUGCUGUGUUGCCCUGUCCUGUCUAGAAGGAACUAUUCAUUGCCCGAAAGAAAAGCACCUUCUCCAGUGCUCAUGGAUCCCAGCUAGUGGUUGUCAGAUGGCACAGCUGACCUUCCGAAAGAGAGGUUAUCCUGAGUGGCCCUGACCUAAGCAGGUGACUCCUCAAAAGGAUUCAGCUCUUCCUAGAAGAAGUGUGAAGCUUGAGGUAUAUUUGUUACUGGCUUUGAAGAUGGAGGGAAUCACCUGGUAAGGAAUGAAGGAAACCUCUAGGAGCUGAGCAGCCCCAGUCGACCGCCAGCAAGGAAGCGAACUUCAGUCCUGAAGCUGCAAGGAAGUGGAUUCUGCCAACAGUUUGAAAGAGGUUGGAAGAGGACCCCAAGUCUCAGAUGGGGGGGCAGCCCUGGGAGACCCUGAGCAGAGGAGCAGCCACACUGUGCGAGACUCCUGAACACAAAAACCGUGAGUUUUUUAAAAAAUAGGUGUUUACUGAAGUAAGCAAGGAUUUGCGGCUGUUUGGAGCCGAGUGGCAGAUGGAGCCAACUUGGAGACUUCUCGGGCAGAAGUAUGAGUUACAACCCAGAGGCUGCUGCAUGAUGCCCGACAUCACACAGAGCACCUCCACGCUCGGAGAGCCGAGGAGAUCUCAGAGUAGACAUGCUAUUGCCUUCGAGCAUGGACGACAAGGAUUCCUGCCCCCUCCCACUUUGGACUACACUGGAAAGCUGGACGGCCAUCAGAAUUUGCCAUCAGUGGACUAAAUGAACAAGCUGGUUACCUCAGUGGAAAUUCCACAAGGAGAUAAAUCCCUUCCUACAACAUCAAUAUUUCAACGGAAUGCUUCCUGGCAUGGAAGUCUCUAAGUAAGCCCCAGUGGCUAGGCCCAAAUUCAAGGAAAGCCCAAAUCUGCAAACUGGAAAAAUGGAAUGGAGAAUGUAAAUACUAUAAAGAGAUGACAUCUGAAACGAUUUCAAAAUAAGAGGCAAUGACUUCUUCAAGUCUUAACUUGAGUCCUUGAGAGCUGAGCUAUUCAAUGAAUUAUAUAUAAAAGCAGUCCCCAGGAAUACAACCUCCUCCAUGUACUCCUUAGAGCAGCCCAGUAUUCACAGAUGCAUUCAUGCGGCUCAGCAUACCUGUGAAGUAGGACCGUCAUUCCUAUUUUACUAAUUAGGAACAGGCUGAGGUAAAUUAGGAAAUUUACUCAAGGUGCCUUAGCAAGAGUUAUCAGUGAGAAGACCUGAACUCCCAAACCUGUGCUUGACACCACACCACCAUUCCCUUCUAGAACUUGCCUCCCUUGGCUCUCAGGUCUUUGAUCUUUUUAAGAUCUUCUAUCUAACCAAGCCCUAGCCUUCUCCUUUAAAUGCUCCCUCUCAAAACAGAGCUCUUUCAUGUGUCAGUUUCAACCACAAAGACAAUCACAAAUUACUUGACUUUAACUCCUCUCUCUCAAUCCAAAGGCCAAAUGCAGUAACAAAUUAUCUUCCCACAGAAUGUCAGAAGGCUCUUAAAAUAGCAAGACUAGCCACUUUUCUAUUAAAGUUUUCUUAUCACCUGAACCAUGCGGUAAGUAUCAGUGUGUCACCGUAAGAGUGGCUUUAACUAUAAGGAAGCAAAAGCUUGCCUGGAAAAUUCUCUGAACCCUUUCCUUCCUUCCCAGGUUAGCGGCAACAGAGCAGCAGACCACAUGCAGUGGAAAGCAGCACCAGACUAGGCUGAGCCUGGCUAGGCUUACUUACCUGUAGACGACAGCAGGGAUGCGCUUCCAGGACCUGAAGCUUGCAACACUCUCUAGUUCUUUGUCGGUGAUCCAGGCAGGCACUAUGAGCUCCUGUGGAUAACUACCACAUAGCCUAAUGGGGAAGUGGUGACAAGACCAAUGGAAACUGCCUGCCUACAUGAGAACACAAUACUGUCUAAGAAACGCACGCACCUGGAACAACAGAGAUCUGGAGGGGGAUGGAAAGGAAGGUUCCAGAAUCCUACGAAAUACCACUUUUCCACUCCAGUAACAGCAAUGGGAACAGAAGGCUCAAGAAGUACUCUGAAGACCAUGCAGUUAGAUAUAAUAAAUAAAAUUCCACUGAAAAAAUAGGUCUAUGUCUAAGUUCAAAUGUUCCGCCACAUGAGAACUGGGGUUUCUGCAAAGGCACUGGCUGUGAAGCACAGUCCGUAGGCACCCAUACAACUCACUU